AGAGUUUGAUCAUGGCUCAGGAUGAACGCUGGCGGCGUGCUCAACACAUGCAAGUCGAACGAUGAAGCCAGCUUGCUGGUGGAUUAGUGGCGAACGGGUGAGUAACACGUGAGUAACCUGCCCUUAACUCUGGGAUAAGCCUGGGAAACUGGGUCUAAUACCGGAUAUGACUCCUCAUCGCAUGGUGGGGGGUGGAAAGCUUUUUGUGGUUUUGGAUGGACUCGCGGCCUAUCAGCUUGUUGGUGAGGUAAUGGCUUACCAAGGCGACGACGGGUAGCCGGCCUGAGAGGGUGACCGGCCACACUGGGACUGAGACACGGCCCAGACUCCUACGGGAGGCAGCAGUGGGGAAUAUUGCACAAUGGGCGCAAGCCUGAUGCAGCGACGCCGCGUGAGGGAUGACGGCCUUCGGGUUGUAAACCUCUUUCAGUAGGGAAGAAGCGAAAGUGACGGUACCUGCAGAAGAAGCGCCGGCUAACUACGUGCCAUCAGCCGCGGUAAUACGUAGGGCGCAAGCGUUAUCCGGAAUUAUUGGGCGUAAAGAGCUCGUAGGCGGUUUGUCGCGUCUGCCGUGAAAGUCCGGGGCUCAACUCCGGAUCUGCGGUGGGUACGGGCAGACUAGAGUGAUGUAGGGGAGACUGGAAUUCCUGGUGUAGCGGUGAAAUGCGCGAUAUCAGGAGGAACACCGAUGGCGAAGGCAGGUCUCUGGGCAUUAACUGACGCUGAGGAGCGAAAGCAUGGGGAGCGAACAGGAUUAGAUACCCCCGUAGUCC
rnacentral:rRNA from 1 species